rfam:Acyrthosiphon pisum strain LSR1 Contig29138, whole genome shotgun sequence.
GCCAACGACCAUACCACGUUGAAUACACCAGUUCUCGUCCGAUCACUGAAGUUAAACAACGUCGGGCGUCGUUAGUACUUGGAUGGGUGACCGCUUGGGAACACUACGUGCCGUUGGCA